UGUCGCUAAAGGAUGGACCUGCGAUGCAUUUAGUCUAGUUUGGUUAAGGUAACGGGCUUACCAAGGCGAUGAUGCAUAGCCGAGUUGAGAGACUGAUCGGCCACAUUGGGACUGAGACACGGCCCAAACUCCUACGGGAGGGCAGCAGUAGGGAAUCUUCCACAAUGGACGCAAGUCUGAUGGAGCAACGCCGCGUGAGUGAAGAAGGUUUUCGGUAUCGUAAAGCUCUGUUGUUGGUGAAGAAGGAUAGAGGUAGUAACUGGCCUUUAUUUGACGGUAAUCAACCAGAAAGUCACGGGCUAACUACGUGCCAGCAGCCGCGGUAAAU
rnacentral:rRNA from 1 species